AAUUUAGGAAUGGCGCCAUAAACGAAAGAGAGGAGCUAGAGGACGAAUUUUUGGCGCCAUUGACAAUUGAGAGGUGAGACUCGCGAGAGCCCUGAAAUUUUCAUUUGCCCAUUAACCAAAAUUUGAGCGCCAUAACCAAUCUAUCUCAACGAUGUCCCGUUCCCUUCUGAAACCUCACCUUCAUCCCUCUCCCUUUUUUCUCUCUCCUACUUUGCUCGUCCGUGGUAUCAAAGAUAACCCUCCUCUUCUGGAGGAUCCACCGGCGGAGAUCCCCAACGAUGUGAAGCCGUGCGCUGGUUGUGGUGGACCUUCGCCUGAGUUUGUUACCGAUAGGUGUACGUUCUUGAUUAUUCAAGGAAAAUCCAGAAGCUAAAUUUGCAGGUUUCACCACAUAGAGCUGUUGGUUUGCUGCUAUUGUUGAGUGACAGAUGCAGGGUUCCAGUUUAAAGAGUUGUUAGAUGUUCAGUCAGAUGGGAAGCUGUUGUUGCAACGGCUUGAAGUUGAGUGGCUGCCUUCCUUUUCUUGCUGUUAAUUCUUCUCCCUGCUAGUUGCUUAUUCUUGUUUGGAAUUCAGACUCUUAGGUAUGGCAUGCGAGCUAUUUAUAUUGCAAAGAGAAGCCCGCUGAUCCCACCAACUUUCGCAUCAGCUUUUGAUGAUUUGACAUCCUCCUCCCUUGAUGUUUUCUUUGAUCCUUCCAGCAGCUUGUUUAAUGUUCAAGGCCACUACCCCCACCAACUUAGGUAUGGCAUGCGAGCUAUUUCUGCAAAUCGUGAUAACAUGUAGCAAAGUGUUGGCAAUCAUUCAUUCUUUCAGGUCACCACAUGUUAGUAUGUGAGCUGGUAUUCAGACAAAACAUUGUGGUUGCUGAGGCGUCACCAACUACAGUUAUUUCUUACUUGAUGAUCGAAAUGCAAAGGAUGAAAACUUGCAUUAGAGUUUUCAACAGGUGAAAGAGAAGAGAUCAUCUGUUGAGCUGGCUGAAGGUUUCUCUAUGCUCUUGCAAAUUCUCUCUAGUGCGAAAAUUUUGGGUUUUCCAUGGAAGAAUUCGAAUCGUUAAUGGCGACAUCAGAUGUUGAGCUGCUCAAGAGAGCUUGGCGCAACGAAAAAUCUGCUCCAGAAAUUCUUCAAUUCCAGGCUCCUUUGGUUCAGAGAUCUCGCGAGCAAAUUCAAUUUAUGGUUGAACCGGUAAUCUUCCUCGUCCAAACAUCCAAGAGAGGCUCCCAGAAGAUCAGAAUCAGCAGCCACCUAUAAAUCGAUUCUUUGGAGACGAAGCAGACUGGUCAAGAAAGGAAUGUGUAGCUUACGGCUACCCAAUAAUAAUGUUUCGAGGAUCGACAUGCCUUUGAACUCCAGUAUUCCCCUGUUAUCUCUCACAUUUCCACAUCUGAAUGAGUUCUCAACUCCAACAUCUCCCUGUGAGCCUCCUGGUAAUGAGGGAUAGUGCAAUCUUGUUUGUUACUGAGGGUCACAAGGCUAAGAGAAAAAAUAUUGGUUGUCACUUGAUUGCUAUAGUCGAAUAUAAAGGUCAAAGAGGCAUGAGUUUGAAGCCAGAACCUCCCGAGCUUUGUGAUUCUUCAUCUGCAACAGACAUCAAAAUCACAUGUUUGGGGUGGCAAGACAGUGAAUAUUUCUUUGUGAGUUCUGACUUCUCAUAGCCCUGAUAUCCUGCUUUCAUGUUAGUGUUUUGUUGAUGUUUUAAUCCCCUCAAAUUUAUAAUUUAUAGUGAGGUGUCAUGUAGUUAGACUGAAUACAUUUGAAUCUGGUGUAAAAAACUAAUAUAAUGACAUAUCUACAAGUGUUUGAACAAAUUAGUUGUUGACAAGAAAAAAGUAAAACUAUAGUGCGGGAUUUUUUAUUUAAACAAGAGAUCUAUUCAACUCGAGGGAUCGGGGGCUUCUUUAGUCUCUUGCUCUGCGGGCUGCCUGGCUGCAUAAAUACGUGCUGGUGAGGACUGGAAAGUGCUGCAAAGGGCGCUAAAGCAUGCUUGAUGUGUGGAAAUUUCAGUUUGUAAAAGGCUAGUUUAUACGAAAGUUGACCUCAAUUGACUUUUUUAGUUUUUUGGUUGGUUUUUUUAGUUUUACAUAGGUAACUGGAGAUUUUUGUUGAACUGUUAUAUCAGAUAGAAAUUUUAAGUGUAAAACGGGCUAAUUGUUGAACUGUUAUAUCAGAUGGAAAAUUUAAGUGUAACACGGGCUAAUUCUUGAACUGUUAUAUUAGAUGGGCAAAUUUUAUGAGGUUUUCGAAAUGAAUGCACAUAUUUGUGUAAAAGAACUACCUGGGCAACAUUGUUCUCAUCAGUUAGCACAAAAAUUCUAGUUCGCACUCACUGAAGCACCCAGCAAGCCAUCUUAACUUUUCCUCAGGCUCUUCAAAACUUGAAUCUGCAGGAUGUCUCAUGUGGCAUAACUACUGAUAUAUCUGCUGGCACGAACAGGCCGACAUGAAAUGACCGCGGAACAUUUUUUCUUUCGUCCUUGGACGUUGGAUGUACAAUCAAUUAGUUGUUGUGUAUUGCUUGUGUGCUCUUUCCACUCAUGAAGCCGAUCCAACGUCAAAGGUCUGUCUUCCGUACAUCAUUGCUCGUUAUUCUGAUCAGUUAGGCUAGAUAAAAUUCUGGUUCGUAUGGGCUCACUUAAGAUAAUAAAAGACUAUGUAAACUAAUAUGUCACUACACUUUAUUUUUCUUCUUAAAACUACCUUGACACUAUACCAAUAAAAAGAGUCUAUUAGCUCAAUUGGCAGAGCUUUGUGCAAUUUCACAA